CACCUCCACCACCAGGAUCAAUAGUCAUAUCAUCUAUAUCAUUCGUAUUCAAUUGAACUUGAAGAGAUUCAGUAGUCAUAUCAUACCUUCAUCUAUAUCAUUCGUAUUCAAUUGAACUUGAAGAGAUUUGAAGGGGUUUUUAUAUAGGUCUGCCAAGGGUAUUAGAAUUCCAGGGUUUCAUACCAACUGAGGUAUAAGAGUAUUCUUCUCAAGUUUCACGUUGAAAGGCGUUUUAAUGAGGCGAUGGAGUAGUACAAGCUAUUAUAAUGCACUUAUCUUGGUCUACUAAGCCACGUGCACGACAGGCCAUAUUGCUGAAUCAGGAGAACAGGGAUGCAAGGAUUUAUCUAUUUCGAAACUACAGUCAUUGCCUGGAAUCAAAGAAAGAAUGACAUGUUAAAAUCAAUCUGCUCUGUGGGACCUUCAUUGGUGCAAUACUAGAUGCCAAUUGUUUCAUUAAAAAGCUUACCUCUGUGGGCUAAUAAUACACUGCUGUUUAUAAUAAGUGAUUUACGGAUUAUAUUACCCUUUUUUAGCUUAUUGGGGUUUAUAGUGCCUUCCUUAGUUCCUUACACAUGCUACUAGGGGCUUAUUGUGCGCAUACAACUGAGGUUCCGUUUUAAAACUGAGACAGACAAUCUAAGAGUUUCAAUUUUUGGUAUUAGCAGUGACACUAGCAGGAACUAUUACUGAUGCAGUUGAUUGUAUUGGCUAAUAAUGCUGGGGCCAAAGUAUAUGAGUCACAGUCAAUGAUGUAUUGAGAGGCCAACAGUAACUUCACACCCUGAGCUCUUUCUACCUCACUUAGAUUUGCAGGUGUGCAAGGUACACAUGUAAUAAUAUUUUGGGUGCUAAGUUCAUGUUAACAAUCCUCUUAACAUGUAGGUUGCAGGCACCAAUGCAACCUACAUGCAUGUGUCUAUUUCAAGAAUUGCACCUAUGGUAGUUCUUUGGUUGUCCUAGCAUAUAAUGCUGAGGAAAGAGGAUGGAGACAAGAAAUUUAAUAGCACUGCCCCGUCAAACCAUGUAUCUGUUGUCAUAUUCAUCUGCUGAAAGUAUUAAAAAAUUUAGCAUCGGCACUCGAAUAUAACACUAUAUGUUCUUCACAUCAAAUGAUCAAUAGGGGAAUGCAGAAAGACCAGAAGUACGUACAGUCACAUGGAAAAUUGAUGAGUUUGCUGGAUGAUUAUUGUAGGUAGAUGUUGUUGUAUCUAUGUACUUCCCUCUGAUGAUUCUUGACCAUAGAUUAAAACUUGAUUUGUUUGAAUGUUAUUCUAGGGUAUUGAUUUGAUCUAAUUUGGGUUUGUUUUGCUGUGUGGAUUGUAGCAAGGUAUGAAGGUUUUCAAUUGCACAAGCUCUGAGUGUGAUUUCUCACAAACAUAUGCUCUAAGGGAUUCUUAAAACAUUGAGAUUUCUUGCUUGAUCAGUCCAGCAAUCCCAGGUUAUGUAAGUCAUGAAGGUGAAGAGAAAAUUGCACGUUCUAAUGUCCGUGAACAAGAUAAAUGUUUAGAGUGAAAGAAAAACGGAUUUAGAACUAUGUGCUGAUGCAGAGCCCCCGUCUCAGUAUCCAAGCGAAGACGACGCCAAAGUGGAUGAAAGAAAGAUUAAGAUGCUUGAGAAUCUCCAAAGCAAACAAAGGAAAUGUUUCUGGAACAAAGGCAGGAAACACAGUGCAGGUAUAUGAUGACUACCAGUAAUCAGCUGAGAUGAAUUUGAGGUUUGAUCUCCUACUUGGAUACACAGAUGGAUUAGUGCGAAACCACACGUCGGAUUAUGGAUUAUAACAGCCAGCAAUGAGUUCCUUUCCGUCGGACUUCACAAACAGGACCUCACCUCCCAUGCAGGCCCUUUAAGUAUCGCUGUAAGGCGUAAGCAUCUCUCCUCAUAUAAAUCAUACAUCUCAGUCUAGCCACUCAAAAAAAAAAAGAAUGUUUUGAGGUGAAGUUCCUUUUUAGGUCUUUUUUAGGUGUUGCUGCAUUGCCGUCUCUACUCUUAUAAGGUGGUGCUGCUGCUGUAGCUGUUGUUGCACCUACAGCUGAGGAGAAGGAAGUGGCCAAGGAAUUUUAAUUUUUGUGAGUUCUUCUUAAAGAAUGCAGUGUUCUUCAUUUGAGACAUCUGCCCAGAGAACUGAUAGCUUUAAAGCUGAUGCCAAGGUUGUCGUGGCAGUGGCACAGUGCAACAGAGAAAUGCAUCCAUUAGGAUCAUGAUUCAAGCAUACCAGUAACUAGCAGUGCAUCAACAAAGUUGGAGAUGGAACUGUUAGGAACUCAUACAAGUCUCUGCACUUGCGCUACCAGCUUAAUACCAACUAGACAGUACAUUUCACUUACUAACCAAAAGGUAAAAUGUUUAGAUUAUACAGUUAGUUAAAUUUGGUGGAAGCAUUUGGAUAUUCUUUGAUCCACAAUAAAAAUUGUAAAGACUGUAAAGCUUCGAAAUGUCAACCAGGAAGGUCCACUGAAGACACGAACACUAACAAUUGAAUUUAGCUUUGCCAAAAAAUUAUGUUUGUGACAUGUAAGUGAACACCAUGGGUCGUAAAGUCAUAGUCGUUUUUUUGUCAAAUUAAUAGUUAAGGUGAGACUAGACGUAUUUUCUAAAUUACUUUAAUAUGUGUAUAUGUAAUGGAUGUAUCUUGCAAGUGGAAUGGAGAUUGGGAUUGUUGUAUACCAAGCGAAAUCAGAAAUAGCAUACAGAGAUUAACUACGAUUUCAUUUGAGAGAACUUGAAUAUACUAUAUUGGGAUGACAAGUUCGAUAUCGUACAUAAAUUUUGUGAAGUACCAUGAAUCACAGUUGUCGAUACCGCCAGCUACAGAUAGAAGUACUUGGAAACUUGCGAAAACAACAAUUUUCAGGAAUAUCGAGCAGUAUCCCGGUGCCUCCAAAGGUGCAUUCUGAUCGUGAGAUAGCAUGCAUAAAGAAUUGCUGUUGGGUUAGAGAUUUUGAAGAUCGUAAGCAGUACAACAAAAAGAAUACUUGCAUUGCAUACAAUUCCAGUUAUAAGUAUGUUAGCAAAAGAAUUAAGAUCAACAGUGUGAUCUAUGAGCCGAACCACACUUUUGGACAUAUCCCAACGCUUGAAAAUAUCAAGGUAGAUGAAUGCAGCCGUCCUAACUGGCCAUAGUCAUGCAUAAGUCAUGCAUAAGGUUUGUAGAUUCCUACUUUAUUUUGUAUGUUCUUACAUUAAGAGGGCUUUAUUGAGGAUGAUCAUAAAUUACCGGUCUACAUGGUGAAAUUUGAAAUUUCAGUCGAAACUCAGAAAAAGAUUUGUACUUCUAGCUUGAAUUUAAUGUCAUAAUAUGCGCACAUGGUUGAGGGCAAUAAUCUUUAUAGCAUAUUUUUCUCUGCUACUUCUCCAUGGUUCACGUUAGUGGUCAGACCAGUUCUGUAAAAGUUGUUGAAGGAGAUUAACUAAUGUACAAACUUUUUUGGUAGAGGAAACUCUUAUGAUUAUAUAGGAUCAAACAACCAAUUGUUUUUCAAGUCUUAACCACUUCAUGUGUUAUUUAGAGAGUUUAUGCUUGAUGUACCAUCUGUUUCUACGACAUAAAGUGGCUCUGUUGUUGCUGUUUUAUUUAUAUAACUUGAUGAACUUGCUGAACCAUCACUCCAUUAGACUGCACUAUUCGGGUCAAGGGUACAGCAGAAAUAUAUGGUACCAAAACAGAUGGAGUAGACAUGACCGUAAUGGAGGAGCUAUGCCCAGGGAAGUUGGCUUCUCAUAUGUUGUAAUAUUUGUCAUUCCAAUAAUAUUUGUUUUGAAACUUCUUUAGUGGUUGUCAUCCCUGGAAAUUUCAUUGAAUGGUGCAGUACUUCUAAAAACACAUGGUGUUUGUCUUGGUGAUAGCAAAAGCUAUCAGACGUCAUCCUUGAACUUGGAGUUCCUCCUGAUGGAGUUCUCCCCAUCCGAAGCUAAGGAAAUUUUGGGUAAUCUUAAGUUGGGUGGUCUGGGUGAAUGAAAUUUGGGAUGGAGGGGGGGAAUUCGUCAUGUUAAACAUCAUUAGGUUUUCUCAAGCACCCUCUUCUCUCUCUUUUGCCUCUCUGAAACCACUUCGAGCAGAAUUUUAGGUUUUUGUCUAUUUGAUCUGUAGGUUUAACAUCAUUAAGGGGUAGGUAAUGUAGUGCUUCAAAGAGGUCUGAAUCUCGAAAUAAUUGCAGCAACAAAUCCUUCUAAGAGUAUUAAAGAAACCAUACAAUUGUAUCAACACCAAAUCUUUUAAUUUCUUAUAUGAUAUCUAGAGUUUUUGAUAAGAUUCGUGAUAUUGUUGUUGCAGUAUUAGUGUCUUUUUUCCAAAUUGGGGGGUUUUCUGGGUUGAGCAGAGGGAUUUAGAUUCGCGUCUAAGCCAUUAACUGUUUCCGAGAUGAUGUUACUCCUCCUACUCCACCCUCUGCACGCGCAGCUGUAUGAGAUCAUACAAAAUGGACAGGGGAGUUGCACAGGAAAAAAGUACUUCAUUGUCGUUGCUGAGGUACGCUGCUUUAGUGAUUCUCCAAGUCAUGCGUAGGAAGUUACCCAACUAUAGUUCCCUCUUUCUGACACGGUAAUCCAUCAAGCAACUGCUUUCAGAAAGGUUUGUGCGUGUCAUCCUCAGGUAGGUGGUUUAUUAGAACUGACCUUCUCCUGCUACUCAUUCCUCAGGUAUAACUUGCCCUCUCCAUUAUUAGUAAUCUCAAUUAACUCUCUGUAACAUAAAUAAAUUCAUAAGAACUGUGAGAAACAAUACACAUAUCGUAAAAAAACUUCUAUGCUCAGGUAGCCUUGAUGGAAGCAGAGAUCAAUACUAAACUAUCUACAAAGAAAAAUAUAGAACUUGAGUUCUGUAAGUUAGCUAUGGAAUUGGUCAUUUAUCUUCAUACACACACACAACUUGGUGUAUUUACUAUUUAGCUCUUUAUGCUUAUUAUCUGUCAGCUUUAACAAACUACUUUUACACCAUUAGUUCACUCAAUUAUGCUUGGACGAGACUUCUUUUAGUUGAGAAUCGAAUCGAUGAAUGUAAUCUUAUUUAUUCGUUGUUGAAUUCAUGGGUGUUGCUACAUGUUGUAAUAUCCACAGAAACAACUGGAUGUGGUUGUAUCUUGGGCUGUUUAAGCAGAAAACUCCAAUACAUAUCAGGUUUGGAAAGGAUGAUAUCUUUCCUGCAAAUAGUUCUCAGUCCUUACGCAUGGUGGAAAUUGUUAGAGGAUGUUGUACACUGUAAAGAAAGAAAUGGAAAACUUGGUAAGCCUGAGGUUUUCCCAGAAGCCGCUGUGCAUAAUGACUUAUUAACAGUGUAGCACACAAUGGUGGAAUGCAGCAUGGAUGGGGUUGUAGCAAACAAAGUGUGAACUUAUUACAAUUAAUGGACACUGUAAAGAAAAGAAAUGGAAAACUUGGUAAGCCUGAGGUUUUCCCAGAAGCCGCUGUGCAUAAUGACUUAUUAACAGUGUAGCAAACACAAUGGUGGAAUGCAGCAUGGAUGGGGUUGUAGCAAACAAAGAUUCCUCUUUCAGGAAGAAGAAAGACAAUCUUCACAACAAUCGAUUAAGUAAAAGCUUAUUAGAACUUUACCUUCCCCACUGCUCAUUCCUUAGAAAGGUAUGACUUUAGAAGCACAGUAUCUUCUUAGUAAGUGGUAGCUAAAGCUUCUUUUUCAUAACCAUGCAAAGAGUUUUAUAAUCUGCAGCCAUGGGAAGAAAAUUGUUUUUAAGUGUAGCUGCACGUCUAUCAGGUGCCAUAAAUGUUGCAAAAAGAUGCAAGAUAAAGUGGUUUAGUGGUUGGUGCUUGCAGAUGGUGGUGGAUGUGGUAGUUUUGGUGUUUGGUAAUGGUCGUUUUUGACUCUUUUAUUAUUAAUUGAAUUGUUUACAGCUAAUUAAUGCCUCAUUAACAUAGAAAGUUGAUUAGGUCUGUGAUGGGGCCGUAACUUUGUUAUUAAUUUCAAUUUAAUAGAAAUUGUAUGCUCUCUG